rnacentral:pre_miRNA from 1 species
UGGCUCGUUUCUGCGACCCUGAGUGCAGAAUCUUGGUCUGGUGGAACUAAAUAGAACCAACGCCGGACCAGGAAUUUGUCCGGGAAACAGAACGGGCCACU